rnacentral:rRNA from 1 species
AUACGGAGGAUCCGAGCGUUAUCCGGAUUUAUUGGGUUUAAAGGGUGCGCAGGCGGCCAUUUAAGUCAGCGGUUAAAUCGUGGGGCUCAACCCCAUUCUGCCGUUGAUACUGGGUGGCUUGAUUGCGGUCGAGGUUGGCGGAAUUCGUUGUGUAGCGGUGAAAUGCAUAGAUAUGACGAAGAACACCGAUUGCGUAGGCAGCUGACCAGAUCGCAAAUGACGCUCAUGCACGAAAGUGCGGGGAUCGAACAGGAUUAGAUACCCUGGUAGGCCGCACAGUAAACGAUGAAUACUUGAUUUCGGCGAUAUAAUGUCGGAGGCAAAGCGAAAGCGAUAAGUAUUCCACCUGGGGAGUACGCCGGCAACGGUGAAACUCAAAUGAAUUGACUGGG